rnacentral:rRNA from 1 species
GCUUCCCUCUGGCGGCGUGCCUAAUAUAUGCAAGUCGAGCGAACAGACGAGGAGCUUGCUCCUCUGACGUUAGCGGCGGACGGGCGAGUAACACGUGGAUAACCUACCUAUAAGACUGGGAUAACUUCGGGAAACCGGAGCUAAUACCGGAUAAUAUAUUGAACCGCAUGGUUCAAUAGUGAAAGACGGUUUUGCUGUCACUUAUAGAUGGAUCCGCGCCGCAUUAGCUAGUUGGUAAGGUAACGGCUUACCAAGGCAACGAUGCGUAGCCGACCUGAGGGGGUGAUCGGCCACACUGGAACUGAGACACGGUCCAGACUCCUACGGGAGGCAGCAGUAGGGAAUCUUCCGCAAUGGGCGAAAGCCUGACGGAGCAACGCCGCGUGAGUGAUGAAGGUCUUCGGAUCGUAAAACUCUGUUAUUAGGGAAGAACAAAUGUGUAAGUAACUAUGCACGUCUUGACGGUACCUAAUCAGAAAGCCACGGCUAACUACGUG